UACGUAGGGCGCAAGCGUUAUCCGGAAUUAUUGGGCGUAAAGAGCUCGUAGGCGGUUUGUCGCGUCUGCUGUGAAAUCCCGAGGCUCAACCUCGGGCUUGCAGUGGGUACGGGCAGACUAGAGUGCGGUAGGGGAGACUGGAAUUCCUGGUGUAGCGGUGGAAUGCGCAGAUAUCAGGAGGAACACCGAUGGCGAAGGCAGGUCUCUGGGCCGCAACUGACGC
rnacentral:rRNA from 1 species